rnacentral:rRNA from 1 species
UGGGGAAUAUUGCACAAUGGAGGGAACUCUGAUGCAGCGACGCCGCGUGAACGAAGAAGGCUUUCGAGUCGUAAAGUUCUUUUAUAUGGGAAGAUAAUGACGGUACCAUAAGAAAAAGCCCCGGCUAACUACGUGCCAGGAGCCGCGGUAAUACGUAGGUGGCAAGCGUUGUCCGGAAUUAUUGGGCGUAAAGCGCGCGCAGGUGGUUUAGAAAGUCUGAUGUGAAAGCCCACGGCUCAACCGUGGAGGGUCAUUGGAAACUAAUAAACUUGAGUGCAGGAGAGAAAAGUGGAAUUCCUAGUGUAGCGGUGAAAUGCGUAGAGAUUAGGAGGAACACCGGUGGCGAAAGCGGCUUUUUGGCCUGCAACUGACACUGAGGCGCGAAAGCGUGGGGAGCAAACAGG